rnacentral:rRNA from 1 species
UCCUACGGGGCGCAGCAGUGAGGAAUAUUGGUCAAUGGUCGGGAGACUGAACCAGCCAAGCCGCGUGAGGGAGGAAGGUACAGAGUAUCGUAAACCUCUUUUGUCAGGGAACAAAGGCGGGGACGUGUCCCCGGAUGAGUGUACCUGAAGAAAAAGCAUCGGCUAACUCCGUGCCAGCAGCCGCGGUAAUACGGAGGAUGCGAGCGUUAUCCGGAUUUAUUGGGUUUAAAGGGUGCGCAGGCGGUCUGUUAAGUCAGCGGUCAAAGCCCGGGGCUCAACCCCCGCCCGCCGUUGAAACUGGCAGU